CAAAGUCCUCUAUUUUGCGCGAAACAUCUUAACGUCCCGAUGAUCCAGAUAUUGUGCAACGCGUUUUAAGAGUUGUUGAAAAACCAAUUAACAAACCAGUCGUAGUCGUGGAUAGUUUUCGCUGGCUUGACCACAUCAGAAAUAAAUCGGCCGCUGUAACGUUCCUCCCUCCGAGGCAGCCGCGGCCGACUGUGGACAGAAGCAACUGUUGGUGGUUUCCAUGACUGGAAAAUCAGUCAACUGUUCCAGGUUUUCCAGUACGCAUGGCAACCCUGAUAACCCAAUCAGCCAACGCCAUGAAUCAACCAACGCCAGACCCACACUAUCCAGCCAAGCCACAGCCAGUGGGACCAACCCCAGCUUAGCAUAUGUCACAGUUAGCUAGUUGGCCACCCUGACUUGCAUCACUCUUGGCUAAGUAGGAAGUAAUCGUUGGUUAUACACAGGGGCACCCGGCACAUACGCCCACAGCGUGCUAUCCGCAGCCUACGGCAUCCUUACACUCAGCAAGUGCAACGGACCUUGAGACAAUCACUGCCCACUCCAUCUUCCGACCACCUAGCCAAACUUGCUGGAACAAACACCACAGCAAGCAGUGCGGUGGCCCCAGGAAGAGAGCUGUGAUAAGAGCUAAACCAAGCUUGGAACCAUGAGAGUGAGCAAGAGAAAUGUCAUAAAGAUUCGGCCCAGCUUUCAAACAUAGUGUCUGUACAAGAAAAACAUCAAAUACGUUUGGUAGGAAUCCCCUCAUUCUCUUUCCCCACUGUUAAAUCCAAGAACAAACUGCUCACCGCUAGGGGUCUGGGAGGUGCAGCAGAAGAUGGGAACUCAACAGGCUCUUCGGGUCCUUCGGCCUCACUUUCAUCACUGGAGAUUCGGCCAUGAACGAGAGGUGAGGGGACUCUGAGACUUCCCUCAUCCUGCCGCUGCUUCUCCUCCUCUGGGGUGCUCUCUGACACAGCCGUAGACCGACUGUAAAAAAACAACAAAAAACAAAUUCAACCAGCUGAUUUUCAAAUAUAUUGAAUAUAGUUAUAUUAUACAGUAAUAUACUGAUGCUCACUGCCUCUAACCCUCAUUGUCUCACAAUUAUUGGAUGUGUGAUGCUACGUCACAUGCAUCCAGGAACAUGAUCUAGAUUAGGGCUAAGCAAUUGAGAAGCAACAAAAAACUCAUUCUCAUCGUCAGUGUGACUUCAUGCAUAUUAAUUAGGACAUACACUUAGUUGCUAGCUAAAACGAAUGCAAUCUAAUCCAAAUGUACUGCAAUAAACCCUACCUUCAUUAAGG